UAUUCUUUUCUACAAAAACGAUCCAUCGCCUGUCAGGAUCGCCUUCGGGUGGCGAAACAAAACUCCCGUAACCUGAAAGGGAGAGCAAUAUUGCGGUACAUCUGCACACUUUUGGAAGCAGAUAUCGUUGGACACAUAACCC
rfam:Xenorhabdus beddingii strain DSM 4764 Xbed_5, whole genome shotgun sequence.